rnacentral:tRNA from 1 species
GCGGGCGUGGCGGAAUUGGCAGACGCGCAAGAUUUAGGAUCUUGUGGGUGACCGUGCAGGUUCAAGUCCUGUCGCCCGCACCA